rnacentral:rRNA from 1 species
CAGUAGCCACGGUAAUACGAAGGGUGCAAGCGUUACUCGGAAUUACUGGGCGUAAAGCGUGCGUAGGUGGUGGUUUAAGUCCGUUGUGAAAGCCCUGGGCUCAACCUGGGAAUUGCAGUGGAUACUGGGUCACUAGAGUGUGGUAGAGGAUAGUGGAAUUUCCGGUGUAGCAGUGAAAUGCGUAGAGAUCGGAAGGAACAUCUGUGGCGAAGGCGACUAUCUGGGCCAACACUGACACUGAGGCACGAAAGCGUGGGGAGCAAACAGGAUUAGAGACCCGCGUAGUCCCUGUCUCUUAUAC